rnacentral:rRNA from 1 species
CAGAGUGGUGAUAGAAAUUGCAGCUCCCUUGCCCAGUUGCCCCCACCACACCAGAGCGCGGAGGCCACGCAAAGUAAACUUGACCACUUCCUCUCCUAACCCUCCUCCAGCCCUUCUCUCGCUCUCUCAAGCGCCGCCCCAUUUCCCGGAAGCUCGCCCGCCUGCCAUGGAAGACGCAGAAGAAAAUUCCAUGUUCGAGACCAGCCAUGUCCUCGGCGCGCUGCUGGCCUCCUCGCCGCUGCUGGCGCGCGCCUGGGACCGGUGCGCGGCCGCCGCCGCGAUGGGCGCCGCCUCCUCCGGGUUCGCGCACGGCGACGGCGGCGGGGACGGGGGGACGGUGUACGUGGCCUUCUCCGGCCUGCAGGCCGCGCUGUCGGUUGCGCGCCCGGCGGUGGCGAGCGGCGCCGACGUCUUCGCGCCGGUCGGCCUCGGCGGCGACGCGGCCGGGGCGCGGGCCUUCCCGCAGCUGGCGGCCGCCGAGCCGGACGCAGCCGCCGCCGGGGAGCGUGUCGCCGUGCAGGCGCUGGCUCUGCGGUGCUUCUUGAAACUGUGCGGCUCCCCUGAGUUCCAGAUGCUACUAAAUCAGAUCCGGGGCAAGGCGGUGGUGUUCACCGGCCACUCCCUCGGUGGAGCCAUCGCCGCUCUUGCGGCGCUGCACUACCUUUGCAUCUCAUCGUUAAGCUCGUCAUGCAGUCCGUCUCCUGUGCUGUGUGUCACAUUCGGGAGCCCACUGCUCGGCAACGAGGCCCUGUCCAGGGCCAUCCUGCGAGAGCGGUGGGGCGGCAACUUCUGUAAUGUCGUCUCACAGCACGACGUCGUCCCGAGGCUCCUCUUCUGCCCCCUAGACGCUGUCCCAGUGCACGUCAUCAUCGGUAUGCAGCUGCAGCAAUGGCCAGGACACACUCACCACACGGGUGUAAUGACCACUCGUGUUGUGGACGCCGAGCAGGAGGGGCUGCGUCAACUGAUACAGGCGCAUGUCCGCACAGUGGCAAUGGAGCAGAAGCUCGUGGACCCAGAAUCGCGAGGGGGGAGCCCUUACCGUCCGUUCGGGGCCUACGUGCUGUGCUCGCCGGAAGGCGCAGCGUGCGUUGACAACUCAACAGCUGCAGUCCAGAUGCUCUAUGCCACAUUCGCCGCCUGCUACACGCGGGGCGACACGACAUCCCUGGAGGCCGCACACUCUUGCUAUGGCGACCUUGUGCUGAAAAUGCCACAGAACUUGCUCCUCAAGCGGCACCUGCAUGCCAUGGACGUGUUGGCAUCCAUGUCCAACUCCAACUACGAUGCUGGCAUCUCCCUAGCGAUGGAGGCCUCCGGCAUUGGCAGCGAGGCAACGGAGGCCACAACAGCGCGAUACUGGCUGAAGGCGUCUAAGCGGGCGGGCCGCAGCCCAAGCCUGAACUGCGCGGGGCUCUCAACACGGCUGGGACGGAUCACUCCAUGCCGGGCACAGAUCGAGUGGUACAAGGCAUCAUUCGACGCCGACAUGGGGUACUACGACGCAUUCAAGCAACAGAGGUCACCAAAGAAGUUCGGCAAGGCCAACAUUUAUCGCCUCAAGCUGGGCCAGUUUUGGGAUGGUGUCCUCACAAUGCUCGACAACAGCCAGCUGCCGCACGACUUCCAUCGCCGGGCCAAGUGGGUGAACGCCGCCCGGUUCUACCAGCUCCUCGUCGAGCCACUGGACAUCGCGGACUAUCACCGCAACAACCUCCACAAGACAAGAGGCGGCUACAUCACCCAUGGUCGUGACAGAAGGUAUGAGCUGUUCGACAAGUGGUGGAAGGAGAAGGGCGCCUUCAGUGGCACUAGCACCGGCGACACGUCGGUCACAGCGACAGCGAGGAGCAAGUACGCCGGGCUGACUCAGGAUCCAUGCUUCUGGGCGAGGGUGGAGGAGGCGUGGGAUCAGACUGAAAGCGCCCAGGCCGAGCACGACGUGGCGAUGCUGGCGAUGAAGCUUGGGAGGCUGCGGGAGUUCGAGCGGUACGCCAGGGAGCUGGUGGAGAGCAAGGAGGUGUCCAUCGACGUCCUUGCGCCGCAGUCGAGCUACACCCGCUGGGUGGAGGAGUGGAAGAAGCUCUUGCUCAGAGACGAAGCCAGAACAGCGUCGUUGUUUUAGUUCUCAUGAUGAAUUAGCUGGAGCAGCUCAAGAUUUUUAUUUUUAUUUUUUGCCACUAGUUUUAGGUAACUUAGUAUAGCCCUGGUAUAGGCGGUUGUAAAUACGCAUAGGCUUGCAGACCGCAGAGGCACUGCAUUAUGUUGUUGUAUCAGUUCAUCAUCUUGCAUCUUGAUGCUGAUUUAUUCAGUUGUUUCUUCCUCAAGGCCGACGUUAAUCUGCAUUAUUGAGCAUCUGGGUGGUAUGGUGUCCCUGUAUGAUCAGCGUCUGAUAUCAAAGUUUACAUGAUACCGC